UACGAGGGGGGCUAGCGUUGUUCGGAAUCACUGGGCGUAAAGCGCACGUAGGCGGCUUUCUAAGUCAGGGGUGAAAUCCUGGAGCUCAACUCCAGAACUGCCUUUGAUACUGGAGAGCUUGAGUCCGGGAGAGGUGAGUGGAACUCCGAGUGUAGAGGUGAAAUUCGUAGAUAUUCGGAAGAACACCAGUGGCGAAGGCGGCUCACUGGCCCGGUACUGACGCUGAUGUGCGAAAGCGUGGGGAGCAAACAGG
rnacentral:rRNA from 1 species